AUGGGCAGCAGCGCGGCGGAGAUGGAGACCUUCGCGUUCCAGGCGGAGAUCAACCAACUGCUCAUCGUCAACACCUUAUACUCAUACAAGGAUAUCUUCCUCCGCGAGCUCAUCUCCAACUCAUCUGAUGCGCUUGACAAGAUCUGGUUCAAGAGCCUGACGGACAAGAGCAAGCUCGAAGCGCAGCCGGAGCUCUUCAUCCACCUCGUCCCCGACAAGGCCAACAAGAUGCUCUCCAUCAUCGACAGCAGCGUUGGCAUGACCAAGUCAGGAAAUGCAGCUGGUCUUGAGAUGCAUGCUUCCCUCGUCUUUCCCAUAUCAGAAUCAUGUCUAUGA
rnacentral:rRNA from 1 species